GAGGACGGGAGUUGAGGACUGGGUCUUUGCGGGCGAGAUGAGGGUGUCAAUUCAACUGGCCUACAAAGUCCCAGUUCUCGGUUCCC
ensembl:miRNA MIR193A microRNA 193a